rnacentral:rRNA from 1 species
AUACGUAGGUGACAAGCGUUAUCCGGAUUUACUGGGCGUAAAGGGCGUGUAGGCGGUCUUGCAAGUCUGAAGUGAAAGCCCGCGGCUCAACCGCGGGACUGCUUUGGAAACUAUGUAGCUUGAGUGUCGGAGAGGUAAGCGGAAUUCCAAGUGUAGCGGUGAAAUGCGUAGAUAUUUGGAAGAACACCGGUGGCGAAGGCGGCUUACUGGACGAUAACUGACGUUGAGGCUCGAAGGCGUGGGGAGCAAACAGGAUUAGAUACCCUGGUAGUCCACGCGGUAAACGAUGAAUACUAGGUGUCGGUGCCCAAAGGGUAUCGGUGCCGUCGCAAACGCAGUAAGUAUUCCACCUGGGGAGUACGUUCGCAAGAAUGAAACUCAAAUGAAUUGACGGGG